AUAGCGUAUAGUACCGUGAGGGAAAGGUGAAAAGAACCCCGGGAGGGGAGUGAAAUAGAACCUGAAACCCUGCACUUACAAGCUGUGGAAGCACAUUUCUUGUGUGACCGCGUACUUUUUGUAGAACGGGCCAACGAGUUACGUUAAGUAGCAAGGUUAAGCACUUAAGGUGCGGAGCCGUAGCGAAAGCGAGUUUUAACUGAGCGUUCAGUUACUUGACGUAGACCCGAAACCGGGCGACCUACCCAUGAGCAGGAUGAAGCGAAAGUAAAAUUUCGUGGAGGUCCGAACCCACGAGCGUUGAAAAGCUCGGGGAUGACUUGUGGGUAGCGGUGAAAUUCCAAUCGAGCCCGGAGAUAGCUGGUUCUCCCCGAAAUAGCUUUAGGGCUAGCCUCAAGGUGAGAGAUACGGAGGUAGAGCACUGAAUGUCCUAGGGGGUAUUGCACCUACCGAAGACUAUCAAACUCCGAAUGCCGUCAUCUUAUACUUGGGAGUCAGACUGUGGGUGAUAAGAUUCAUAGUCGAAAGGGCAACAGCCCAGAUCGUCAGCUAAGGUCCCUAAAUGUAAGUUAAGUGGUAAAGGAUGUGGGAUUGCACAGACAACCAGGAUGUUGGCUUAGAAGCAGCCACUCAUUCAAAGAGUGCGUAAUAGCUCACUGGUCGAGUGAUCCUGCGCCGAAGAUUUCCGGGGCUAAAACUUACUACCGAAGCUACGGCAUCAGUAAUGAUGGGUAGGGGAGCUUCCCAUACGGGUUGAAGCAUGACCGUAAGGACAUGUGGACAGUAUGGGAGUGAGAAUGUUGGCAUGAGUAGCGAGAUGUGGGUGAGAAUCCCACAGGCCGUAAACCCAAGGUUUCCAGGGGAAGGUUCGUCCGCCCUGGGUUAGUCGGGACCUAAGCUGAGGCCGAAAGGCGUAGGUGAUGGACAACAGGUUGAUAUUCCUGUACUACCGAUAACCGUUUGAGAGAAGGGAUGACACAGUAGGAUAAGCUAAGCACACUGUUGGUUAUGUGUGCCCAAGCAUUGAGGCAGUCAAAGUAGGCAAAUCCGCUUUGAUAAUGCUGGGAUGUGAUGGGGAGCGAAAUUUAGUAGCGAAGUAGCUGAUUUCACACUGUCAAGAAAAGUCUCUAUCGAGGUUAAAGGUACCCGUACCGCAAACCGACACAGGUGGGUGAGGAGAGUAUCCUAAGGCCAGCGAGAGAACUGUUGUUAAGGAACUCGGCAAAAUGACCCCGUAACUUAGGGAUAAGGGGUGCCACCAUCAGGUGGCCGCAGAGAAUAGGCCCAAGCGACUGUUUACCAAAAACAUAGGUUUCUGCUAAGUCGCAAGACGAUGUAUAGGAGCUGACGCCUGCCCGGUGCUGGAAGGUUAAGGGGAUCUGUUAGAGCAAUCGAAGCAGUGAACUUAAGCCCCAGUAAACGGCGGCCGUAACUAUAACGGUCCUAAGGUAGCGAAAUUCCUUGUCGGGUAAGUUCCGACCCGCACGAAAGGCGUAACGAUUUGGGCACUGUCUCAACAACAGACUCGGUGAAAUUGUAAUUCCGGUGAAGAUGCCGGAUACCUGCGACAGGACGGAAAGACCCCAUGGAGCUUUACUGUAGCUUGACAUUGGGUCUUGGUACUACAUGUACAGGAUAGGUGGGAGGCUUUGAAACCAGGACGCCAGUUUUGGCGGAGCCAUCCUUGGGAUACCACCCUUGUAGUACUGGGACUCUAACCAUAGGCCAUGAAUCUGGUCUUGGGACACUGUCAGGUGGGCAGUUUGACUGGGGCGGUCGCCUCCCAAAAGGUAACGGAGGCGCUCAAAGGUUCUCUCAGUACGGUCGGAAAUCGUACGUAGAGUGUAAAGGCAAAAGAGAGCUUGAUUGCAAGACAUACAGGUCGAGCAAGGAUGAAAAUCGGACUUAGUGAUCCGGUGGUUCUGCGUGGAAGGGCCAUCGCUCAACGGAUAAAAGCUACCCUGGGGAUAACAGGCUUAUCUCCCCCAAGAGUCCACAUCGACGGGGAGGUUUGGCACCUCGAUGUCGGCUCAUCACAUCCUGGGGCUGUAGUAGGUCCCAAGGGUUGGGCUGUUCGCCCAUUAAAGUGGUACGCGAGCUGGGUUCAGAACGUCGUGAGACAGUUCGGUCCCUAUCCGUCGCAGGCGUAGGAAAUUUGAGAAGACCUGUCCUUAGUACGAGAGGACCGGGAUGGACGUACCUCUGGUGUACCAGUUGUCCUGCCAAGGGCAUGGCUGGGUAGCUAUGUACGGAAUGGAUAAGCGCUGAAAGCAUCUAAGCGCGAAGCCAACUUCAAGAUAAGAUUUCCCACCGCAAGGGUAAGACCCCAGAAAGACUAUCUGGUUGAUAGGUCGAAGGUGUAAGUGCAGCAAUGUAUUUAGCUUAUCGAUACUAAUAGGUCGAGGACUUGACCAA
rnacentral:rRNA from 1 species